AGCAGGAUGUGAGGAAUGAGCUGGGG
rnacentral:piRNA from 1 species